rnacentral:rRNA from 1 species
GACGAACGCUGGCGGCGUGCUUAACACAUGCAAGUCGAACGAAGUGGCGAACGGGUGAGUAACUCGUAAUCAACCUGCCCUUCUGCGGGUGACAACAGUUGGAAACGACUGCUAAUACCGCAUACUGAAGGUUGUGCUUGCGUCGGAUUAGCUAGUUGGGGGGGUAACGGCCCACCAAGGCGAUGAUCAGUAGCCGGUCUGGGAGGGUGAACGGCCACAUUGGGACUGAGACACGGCCCAGACUCCUACGGGAGGCAGCAGUGGGGAAUGUUCCGAAAUGGAAGAAAGUCUGACGGAGCAACGCCGCGGGAGUGAUGACGGCCUUCGGGUUGUAAAGCUCUGUUAAUCGGGACGCGGUACCGGAAGAGAAAGCCACGGCUAACUACGUGCCAGCAGCCGCGGUAAUAC